rnacentral:rRNA from 1 species
CACGUAGGCACCAAGCGUUGUCCGGAUUUAUUGGGCGUAAAGAGCUCGUAGGCGGUUCGGUAAGUCGGGUGUGAAAACUUUGGGCUCAACCCAAAGCGUGCACUCGAUACUGCCAUGACUAGAGUUCGGUAGGGGAGUGGGGAAUUCCUAGUGUAGCGGUGAAAUGCGCAGAUAUCAGGAGGAACACCGGUGGCGAAGGCGGUGGUCUGGGCCGGCACUGACGCUGAGGAGCGAAAGCGUGGGGAGCGAACAGG